AAAAUAUCACUGAAGUUUGUUGCUGUUUUCUAAGUGUUGACCUGUAGUAAUGGAUGUUGUAUCAGUCUAUUGAGGUGCUUUGCUCUUUUACUGAGCAUCUUCAUACAGUGAUAAAUACUGACUAUUGUAGACUUACUAGUGGCUGAGGGUCAUAACAAUAGGAGAAGCUUAACAUGAGUUUCAUAAAGGAUGUUACCUCGGACCACAGAGGGUGUCCUUUACAGUAUCUUGUAAUAGUGCCAUGUCAAUUAAGGACCCAGCUGUCAACAUAUUGUACGAAUUACCAUUAGUUUAUUAUAAUACCAAUUUGAUGGACAUCCACAAAUUAAUACAUACCAUACAAAACAUAUCAUACUAAUUGGAGUAUUCCCGAAUAUACUUUUACUAUGUUUACGUCUACUCUUCCAGGUUGUUCUAAGUGACCAUAUUUUAGUAGAAGAGCAAACAGGAUUAAAGUUGAAAUCGUCAAAUAAUUGUCUUAAUUUCUCUAUGUAAUGUUCAACCCCGAGAACCUGUGUUAAGUUGUUAAAUUCUUGACCGGGUCCAUCAUGUGACCAGCUGCACAAAGUUAUGAACAGUAAGUAAUACUGUAAAUGGUUAACCAUUACAUAACUCUUUCUAUUUAAGUUCUGAAGGGUGACAGUGUUUUUCGUCUAAUCUUUCCCCCUUCCCCUCUCUCCCUAUUGCUCCCUCCCACUAUUUUUACCAGGGGCGCAACAUUGGUUUUAGUUGUGGGGGGACAUAUAUAUUAAUAUUUUGGAUGGGUUGAAUAAACACUGCAAACAGCGUUCCCGACUGCUCGGUGAGAUCUGCACAGUCCAAAAGCA